rnacentral:rRNA from 1 species
UACGGGGGGGGCAAGCGUUGUUCGGAAUUACUGGGCGUAAAGGGCUCGUAGGCGGCCAACUAAGUCGGACGUGAAAUCCCCAGGCUCAACCUGGGAACUGCGUCCGAUACUGGAUGGCUUGAAUCCGGGAGAGGGAUGCAGAAUUCCAGGUGUAGCGGUGAAAUGCGUAGAUAUCUGGAGGAACACCGGUGGCGAAGGCGGGUCUCUGGGCCGAUACUGACGCUGAGGAGCGAAAGCGUGGGGAGCGAACAGG